rnacentral:rRNA from 1 species
UGGGGAAUAUUGGACAAUGGGCGAAAGCCUGAUCCAGCCAUGCCGCGUGUGUGAAGAAGGUCUUCGGAUUGUAAAGCACUUUAAGUUGGGAGGAAGGGCAUUAACCUAAUACGUUAGUGUUUUGACGUUACCGACAGAAUAAGCACCGGCUAACUCUGUGCCAGCAGCCGCGGUAAUACAGAGGGUGCAAGCGUUAAUCGGAAUUACUGGGCGUAAAGCGCGCGUAGUUGGUUUGUUAAAUUGGAUGUGAAAUCCCCGGGCUCAACCUGGGAACUGCAUUCAAAACUGACUGACUAGAGUAUGGUAGAGGGUGGUGGAAUUUCCUGUGUAGCGGUGAAAUGCGUAGAUAUAGGAAGGAACACCAGUGGCGAAGGCGACCACCUGGACUAAUACUGACACUGAGGUGCGAAAGCGUGGGGAGCAAACA